rnacentral:rRNA from 1 species
AUUGACCGCUGGCGGCAGGCCUAACACAUGCAAGUCGCGCGGAGCGGAGGAAGGGUGAGUAAUGCCUAGGAAUCUGCAUGGUAGUGGGGUCUAACGUACGGCAGCGGGAGAUAAGACCACAUACUCUCCAAUGAGGUUCGGUCGGAGUAGCUAGUUGGUGGGGUAAAGGCCUACCAAGGCGAAGAUCCGUAAAUGGUCUGAGAGGAUGAUCAGUCACACUGGAACUGAGACACGGUCCAGACUCCUACGGGAGGCAGCAGUAGGGAAUAUUGGACAAUGGGAGAAAGCCUGAUCCAGCCAUGCCGCGUGUGUGAAGAAGGUCUUCGGAUUGUAAAGCUCUUUAAGUUGAGAGGCGUUACCAACAGAAUAAGCACCGGCUAACUUCGUGCCAGCAGCCGCGGUAAUUC